UUCUCCUUUGCUCUCUUUAUAGAAAUGAUUGUAUCAAUUUAAGAAUGUUAUUCUUCCACACUUAAGAAUUAGUUUCACAAGUUCCUCCAAAGGUUUGGCUAGAUAUUUCUUUGUUAUUACAUUUAAUGCACAGAUUAAUUUGUAGGGAAAUUUGUAGUGUUACAUUAUAAUGCUAAGUUGUCUCAUCCAUUAACUUAUCACUUGAUUUUCUUCAGGUCUUCUUUAAUUAACUUCUAACAGAAUUUUAAAUUUUGGCCCUAAAGGCUAUGUGCAUUCUCAGUGAGACUAAUUUCUAGAUAAUUUAUAGAUUUUUGUUUUAUGUAAAUGGUAUUGAAUUUUCUACUAUGUUUUAUUUAUUGAUUAAAGAUUGUGUAAAGUAGUGAUUCUCAGUCUACUUGAAAAUAAGUUAUUCGGGCAGCUUUUAAAAGAUAAGGAUGCUUCGAUCAUCUUCCUGAUCAAUUCAAUCAGAAUUGAGUCUACAUUAACUUUAUACACAGUUGACCCUUGAACAGCACAACAGGACUGCAGUUGUGCACUUCUAUGUAGAUUCUGUUCAACAAAGCACCGAUGGAAAAUACAGCAUUUACAAGAUGAGAAACCCGAGUACACAGAGGAUCAAUCUUUGGUAUAACACGAGUUCCACAAGGCUAACUGUGGCAUUUGGGCACUAAGUAAAAACUCCUAUGUCUUUGAAUCUCCAUAGAAGAUCGUGAAAUAGUGAAGAAAAGGAGUUUGUUGGAAUGUGGACUUGUAUUCAAACCUGUUUGUGUGCCCCCCUCUUGAUUUCUUAAGCAGCCAAAUGCCUCAUUUCUGCAUACUGUUAUUCUUCCUUGGGCCUGCUGCUCUGGAAUUUUUGACUCUAAUCCAACUGCAACUGUGGAAAGAGAGUAGUUUUAAUAAUAGUGGAAACUUACUGUUAUUAUUCAAACUUUACAUCAUCCUGAAGCAAAAAUAUUUGUUUGUAAGAUACAGCCUUUUGUAAGCCCACAUUAUCUAACACUCUAUUCUUAGGUUCAAUUAGCAAAAGCACUUGCUUUCUUUUCAGGGUUUUUCUCACCUUUCUCAGCUAGAUCACUUCCUAAACUGUAUUCUUCACCAUCCUUCCCUCCUCCUAGCCAAAUAAUUUUAGUCUCAGGAAAGAACUCUUUGGGUUGUAUUGUUUUAUGGCAGGAUCAGUUUUGCUAAUUCUUCCUGAGCAUUCUCAAAGUGUGGCUUUUUUCCAAAGCUGAAAUGCAAAAUAAUGUGAUUUCCGUGGUUUCCUGCAUGAUCCAAUUUAAGGCAUUUGGAGUGCUUAUAUUUUAUAGCAUUAAAUGGUAUUUCUUAAAUUUUUAAUUGAAAUAAUCCCUAAAAAUUAUUUGCAUGGUCAGUAAUAGAUGUGGUCAAUUAAUGAGUACCAUUAUAAACAUGUGGUUACGUAACCUCUAAACCCAAAGAUUUAUCACAAAUAAAUAAAGUAGAAUCCAAAUCCUAUGAGAACAAAUUACAUGCCUCUAGUUUCCCUUUGGAAACAGCUGUACUGAAUCAGGUGGAUGAUGAAGGCCAACUACACUUGGCUUUGAGAGUUGGCUUUAAUUAGCAUCCAUGACUCUCACUAAAAUUUAUGAGGAUAAACUUUCUUUGGACAUAAUGGUCCCUGCUGUUUUGUUAUCUCAUGCAAUGCUCGUUGGCUUCCGUAUUCAAAGUGCUGUAAUAUGCCCAGGGCCUGUGUAGAGAACAUUGGUAGCAUCUUCUUGCUAAGGCUUUUCAGGGUUGUAGGAUAUUUUCUCAGAUAUAUUUAAUAGCAAAUUUCCACAGAAUUUAUGAAUCAUUAAAUUAGAUGUUUUCUUGCUAGGCAGAAGUAAUGUGGGGAAUCAUUCUGAGUAAAAUCCAACAUUAAAAAAUUUAUUAUGUGUAUUUUCACAAACAUUUAUACCAGAUGGCAGUUACUAAAGGCGAUGUAGUUUUAUUUAUCAUAAGUACUAGAUAGGCUAAAGUUUUUCAGGUAGUCACCACUAUCUGAAAUUUGAGAUAAACUUAAGCUCUGUGAGGUUCACUUUUAUCCUGAAAAGAGGAAAGUCUUUGCAGACGGCUUCAAGACAUGCACCUGGGAUCCAUGAACCGCAAUAGUCGUAUACUUUCCAUUAAUUGGCUCUACCUAGAAAUUACCCGAUGGUGCUCAAAAGAUUGGCUGGGAUUACUUAAUAAUCUAUAGAUGGAGGUGAGACCAAGUUUGAUAGGAACCAGUGAAACUUGCUCAGAUUAUUCAAGAAUGUUAUAGAAUGUGAAAUUCCAUUCAAACCUACUUUUCAAUAGAAUAACAGGCUCCAUUGAGUAACACUGGCUUGUCAAAUAAUUUAAUGUUUAGUUAUUAUUAAAUUAUUUUUUAAGAAAGUUAGAAAUUUUCUGAUUUGAAAUGAAGUAACAAUCAGAAGAACUUAAAUCAUACCAAAUGGGCCACCAUUUAAUUAACUGAUUCCAUUUUCUUGUUUAACAUUCUCAUUAAUUUACUUAUGCCACUUUUGGAGGCCACUUUUAAUUUCUAUUGAACAUGAAUAAAUGGAUAAAUGGGUAUUUAACAAAGGCUAUACGUAAUUAGUAGCCUUUACCAAUAAAUUGCAAACAAGCACCUAACUGGACUUCUUUUCCCAUCUCAAAGGAAAAAACCUAAAUCACUUUACUCUGAGAAAUAAAACUUCAUCUGUGAAUGUUUGGUUGGGAUCUCAAUAUUUUGCCAUUUAUAAAUAAGAUCAGAGAAGCCAGGAGUAUAUCUUAUUUUGAUUAUUUUCAAGUACAGCUGUUAAUUUUGAUAAAUUUCUAUUACAAAUAACCAUUGAAAAUUUUGAAAAUACGAUUAAAUGAAAAAUAUCCGUAAUCGCCAAGGCAUAACUACUCUUCAUAUUUUGGUAUAUAGCCACUCAGACGUUUUGCUGUAUGCGUAACUGUAUAUAGAAGUAUAUAUGCAUUAAUGUAUAAAUUAUAGAUCUAUAAAAUCAACAAAGCAAUAAGGUAAUUAAAUGUAUAAUACAAAAUAUGGCAUAAUAAAACAUUUUGAAAUGAAAACAAUUAUAAUUCUAUACUACUACAAUUGUUCCCACUUUUAAUCUUACCUUCUGGUCUGUAUUCAUAUUGCUACUUAAUUAUAAUUAUAAAAUUCGUACUUCAACAACUACUUUGAUAAGAAAAUUGUAACUGCAUUUCUGUUGUUUUAAGGGAAUUAUUUUUUACAAACAUUCAUUCCCAAUUCAUACAGGAAGUGAAAAACCACGGCAUUUACCUCAGAGGCUUUUUGGGUGACAACUCAGUAGACUUAUGAAAAGCAAUAACAUAAAAAAUUCCAAAUAUCUGAUUUCCAUGUGGGAAGCAGCUGUUCUUUUUCAUGCAAUUGAAAGAAAAUAAGAAAAUCUGUGUGCUCUCUACUCUACCUGGCUUUCUCUGGCUCUGACCAUUGAAAUCUCAUUCCAACUCAGAGGCAUCUUUGAGGGUUGGUGAUAAUAAAGAUGCACUUAUUAAUAUUUAUUUUGUGACAAGCACUGUGCUAUGCAGUUUACAGGUAUAACCUAAUUUAAUUCUCAGAACAGCAUUUUAAAGACUAAGAAACUAAGGCUUAGAGAGGUCACAUAUCUGGUCCACAAUCACACAAAUAAUAAAGGGUAGAGCCAGGAUUUUUUUCUCCUUGAUGCCAGAGCUUGAUCACCAGCACUGUGUUAUCCUGCAUUCCUCUGGGUAGGUACAUUCCACUGCUGAUUGGGAGAUUAGUAAUUGGAUGUCUUCUGCUGGAACCUCCAUAUCCUAUCAAUUGUCCUCCUAUAGCUUGGGGUAAAUACUUGUGGCUUUCAGAAAGUGGCCUAGCCUUGGGAAAUCUACUCCUGGGAAAGCUCUUGACACACCUUUUUCCCCUAGUGAUUCAUUAUUUUUUUUUUUAUUAUUAUACUUUAAGUUCUAGGGUACAUGUGCACAGCAUGCAG
rnacentral:lncRNA from 1 species